rnacentral:tRNA from 1 species
GGAGGGACCUUGGCUUAGUGGUGGAACAUCUGCCUUGCAUAUAGAAAGUCCUGGGUUCAAUUCCAGGCACCUCCA